rnacentral:rRNA from 1 species
UACGAAGGGGGCUAGCGUUGCUCGGAAUGACUGGGCGUAAAGGGCGCGUAGGCGGAUGGCACAGUCAGAUGUGAAAUUCCCGGGCUUAACCUGGGGGCUGCAUUUGAUACGUGUGAUCUAGAGUGAGGAAGAGGGUCGUGGAAUUCCCAGUGUAGAGGUGAAAUUCGUAGAUAUUGGGAAGAACACCGGUGGCGAAGGCGGCGACCUGGUCCUUGACUGACGUUGAGGCGCGAAAGCGUGGGGAGCAAACAGG